rnacentral:rRNA from 1 species
CACGUAGGGGGCAAGCGUUGUCCGGAUUUAUUGGGCGUAAAGAGCUCGUAGGCGGUUCAGUAAGUCAGGUGUGAAACCUCCAGGCUCAACCUGGAGACGCCACCUGAUACUGCUGUGACUGGAGUCCGGUAGGGGAGCGUGGAAUUCCUGGUGUAGCGGUGAAAUGCGCAGAUAUCAGGAGGAACACCGAUGGCGAAGGCAGGUCUCUGGGCCAUAACUGACGCUGAGAAGCGAAAGCAUGGGAGCGAACAGG